CACAUCAUCGCCGAUACUCGAUCGAUGGAUGUUUUUUUCCGUUGUUUAUAUCUCCGCUUGAAUUAUUCUAGUUAUUUCCUUUCUGGAUCUUCGGAGGUUCACGUAGCGAUAAUCUCCUCUAUCGCUUGAACGUUGUCAAAACGCUGGUAUCCAAGCACUUCCUUCAUACGUCCAAGUAGAGUCACAAGGGGACAAACCGCGACUAUGGGGAGGACGUUCCAACGGUUCCCUUCCAAGGUACGGAAUGCSACAGGAAUAACAGUUUAUUAAAACAAACUUUUUAUUGWUGAUUGUAAUUGUUGCCUUUGGAGCUUUUAAAAUUACUUAGUUUGCUAUUAAACAUURUCAUGUUUU